UUCGGGAUGUCUCGGUCCGUACGGUCCGUACAACGUCCGUACCAAAUCCGUACAGCCAGUCCCUAAGUUUGCACACUCGCCCAAAUACUCUUCUAAGUCCCUCCUGGACUUGGCCCUAUCUUUGCACAACCAUCAGAUCACUUCUGGACACAAAGAGACACUCCUGAAGCUUGAUAGACAAUCCCUGAAGGACUUGCCCUAUCUUUGUACCAGACCUAACUCCUCCAUACUUCUCCUUUCACUCCAUUUCUAUUCUUCAAGUUAACA
rnacentral:lncRNA from 1 species